rnacentral:lncRNA from 1 species
AAAGAAAAUUAAAGCUUUAUUGAUAAUCGGAUAAAUAUUACAAAGUUAUAUUACAUAUGACAUACAUGAAUAAUUAAUAAGAGAAUACAUUCUUGGAUUGUAAAGAAUUCGGGAAAGAUAACCUAAACUAAAUUAUCUAUUCUUCCUAUACUAUCAUAUCUAAGAUCUUGAUUUUAAUCUUGAUCUUCUUCUUUUCUUCAAAACCUGCAACCAUAAACACUAGAGAGAGUGGGUUAGGAUUAGUAUGUAGCAUAUAUCCUGUCAAGUGACAGUAGAUAUAAGCCACUGUUCAGCCUCAGAAUAAAGCCAGGAGUAGAUAUAGAUCAAACCCACCCGGCCAGGACCAAGUAACCAAGCAAUUAGCCACCCAUCAGCUUACAAGAUAGGCAUCAAGGAGAGCUUGACAACAGCAAGCAGCUGCUGUCAACACCACCAGCACCAGAGACUCACGCAAGGACAGCACUAGCAGCACACACAACAAGCACACAGCUGAGUCACCCGUCCAGAGCACUAUAAAUAGAGCAACCCAGCCGUAGUGAGAGUUUGAUAGCCACUGGUACAACUGAACCAAACAGGAGUUGGACCAAACCCAAACCUGAGAAUUAGUGUGAAGCAGCGAGGAGGUGCAGGCUAACCACAAGAAGAAGGAUAACCAAAGCCUCGAGACCAAGCUACUCAGCACCAGAGGUAGGAUUGGAGUGAUGGAAUCCUCAGGCGUGCACAGAAAUGUUGUGUCAUGCAUCACAGGAUUUGUAGGAGUUCUUGGAGCCACAAAAAUAACUUUAGAACCCAGAGAGGCCUCAGACCAGCAUCAUAAGCAAUAAGAUCAGGCAACAUCUGUUCUUAUCAGUUUAAUAGAAGAGAGAGGGAUAGAAAAAUAGACAAGAAAGCAGAAUAUAGCCAAGAGAAGCAGUAUCUAUUCUUAAGUAGAGUAAAGAUAGCAUAGAAGAAAUAGAUAGGUUAGCACCCAACUGAAUAUCUGCUUCUGCAGAACACUGCACUCCACUUACACAUGGUAUUUUUCUGAAAAUAGGACACCACAUCCACCAGCACAUGGGCUAGUAUCAUUAGCAGUGCUGCUGUAAGUAUAUAUAAUAGCAGUAACCUGUAACAACAAGUAUAAUUAGCUAUUACCCGAAGGUCAGCCGGACCAAUGGAAAUAGACAGAAUUAAGUAACCAACUCCAGGAACUAGAGUAGCAUAUUCAGUUAAUCAACUUGCAGUGGGAAGUACAGCAAGUGAAAUCAAGUAGACAAAGACAAUAGGAUUAGUGUACCGAACCAGGGAGCUUCAUAACUAAAGAAUCCUUCAGUUAACACGAAUAGCAGAGCCACAUAGGAGCAAACAACAUAUUAAGCACUUUGCUCCUGACCAACUUAGCAAAUCCAGAGCAAUCAUAUACCACCAGACCAUCACGUGAGCACAGAAAUAAAGCAAAUACACAUGGGCAGCUACUGACAGACCCUAGAACGGCAUGAAUUUAUCACCAGAGAGCUCCAGUAGGAGUUGAUGCUUGAUUACAACAUCUAGCAGCAACUAGUAGAAUCCCACAUCCAACCCAAAUCAUGGCCAAGGCCAUGCAUGAGCAAAAUCAAUGGAGAAGGAACCGGGAGGACCUCAC